UUCCAGACUCCUACGGGAGGCAGCAGUGGGGAAUAUUGGACAAUGGGGGGAACCCUGAUCCAGCGACGCCGCGUGAGUGAAGAAGUAUUUCGGUAUGUAAAGCUCUAUCAGCAGGGAAGAAAAUGACGGUACCUGACUAAGAAGCCCCGGCUAACUACGUGCCAGCAGCCGCGGUAAUACGUAGGGGGCGAGCGUUGUCCGGAAUGACUGGGCGUAAAGGGUGUGUAGGCGGUUUAUUAAGUUAGAAGUGAAAUACCUAGGGCUUAACCCAGGUGCUGCUUCUAAAACUGAUAGACUUGAGUGCAGUAGAGGAAAGUGGAAUUCCUAGUGUAGCGGUGGAAUGCGUAGAUAUUAGGAGGAACAUCAGUGGCGAAGGCGACUUUCUGGACUGUAACUGACGCUGAGGCACGAAAGUGUGGGGAGCAAACAGGAUUAGAUACCCGUGUA
rnacentral:rRNA from 1 species